rnacentral:lncRNA from 10 species
CCUUUCCGCUCGCCGCUGCCCCACGCGGAGCGCGACUGCCGUCACCCGACAGGACUUUCUUCUGGUUCACCCCUGCAUACCGAGUGCUGAGAACGGGCAGCGCAUAGGAGGAACGCAGUCCCUACCUGUCACAUAGAUGCAGGUUGUCUUGCCAAAUAGAACUCCACCUGGGCACCCUGAGAGGGGUGGCUCAGGCCGGGGCAGGCCUGCUGGGCCAGGACCAGGAUCACUCACUCCAGGGGAAGCUGGCUGCUGAGUCAUGAAGAGGUCCAUGCAGCCCUCCGGAGAAGCCCAUGGGAGACACUGAGGCCUCCAGCCAACAGCGACCAACCCCUUGCUAGGGGUGAGGAAGACUCUUGGAAGACUGUUCAGCCCCAGAAAGCCUUGAGGUGAUCAUGGCUUAGACCAGCAUCUUAGCUGCAACCUCAUGGGAGACCUAGAGGCAGAGCCAUCCAGCUGGGCCAUUCCCUGGCUCCUGCCCUGCAGAAGCCCUGUGAUACCGUAUAAGUAUGUAUUGUUUCAAGCCACCAACUAGUUUUUUUUUCUUUUUAAAGACAGGGUAUUGCUCUGUCACCCAGGAUGGACUGUAGUGGUGCAAUCAUGGCUCAUGUGCAGCCUCAAACUCUUGGGCUCAAGUGAUCCUCCCACCUCAGCCUCCUGAGUAGCUGGGAUGACAGGUGCAUGCCCCCACACCUGGCUGGUUUUACUUUUUGUAGAGACAGUGUCUUAGCGUCUUACUAUGUUGCCCAGGCUUCAAGACACUACAUUUUGAGGUAAUUUGUUAGGCAGCAACCGAUAACUCAUACAUCGUGUUCUGUCUUUUGAAUUUUGUACCUUUUGCAUUUGUGCAUCCUAACAGUGGUGGUGGUGAUGAUGAUGAUGAUAACAAUAACCUAAUACAUACCAUCACCUUGUGUGAUUGAUAAUUUGGGAAUAUUAAAACUGUGUAGACAUGGGCUGGAGAGAUGGGAUCCACUGCAAGGGCAAUGAGCCCUGCCCUCUGGAGGGACUGCACCUGAGUAUUCAGAGAAGUGGAGGAGAGGCCUGACUUCCAGAUGUGUGUGUGCUGUGGGCACCUGUACAGGCAAUGAAAAACUCCUAGGUGUGAGGUUUUCACACUGGCUGCCUGCAGGUCCCACAGUUCCGUUUUGCUUGGCUAGCAUGCUGGAUUUUAAAAAUCUAAACUUGGGCCGGGCACAGUGGCUCACGUCUGUAAUCCCAGCACUUUGGGAGGCCGAGGUGGGUGGAUCACCUGAGGUCAGGAGUUCAAGACCAGCCUGGCUAAAAUGGUGAAACCCUGUUUCUAUUCAAAAUACAAAAAAAUAGCUGGGUGUGGUGGUGUGCACCUGUAAUCCCAGCUACUUGGGAGGCUGAGACAGGAGAAUCACUUGAACCCAGGAGGCGGAGGUUGCAGUGAGCCGAGAUCGCACCAUUGCACUCCAGCUUGGGCAACAAGAGCAAAACACUGUCUCAAAAAUAAAUAAAUCAAUCAAUAAAUCUAAACUUGACAUUCACCAGAAUUGCUAAAAUGAUGAAUGCUGACAAUAUGUGUAAAAAAAUUAUCAAACUAAGGCCGGGCACGGUGGCUUACGCUUGUAAUCCCAGCACUUUGGGAGGCUGAGGUGGGUGGAUCACGAGGUCAGGAGUUUGAGAUCAGCCUGGCCAACAUAGUGAAACCCGUCUCUACUAAAAAUACAAAAAUUAGCGGGGUGUGGUGGCACAUGCCUGUAGUCCCAGCUACUCGGGAGGCUGAGGUGGGAGAACCGCUUGAACCCGGGAGGCAGAGGUUGCAGUGAGCUGAGACCAUGCCAUUGUACUCCAGCCUGGGUGACAGAGUAAGACUCCAUCUCAAAAAAAAAACAUUAUCAAACUAUACACAUAAGAUUCGUGCACUUUAUUGUAUGUAUAUUAUACAUCAAUAAAAUAAAAUAGGAUAAAAGCCCCCCUACCCAAAAAUCUGAGCUUGAGUGCUCUUAGAGGAUGUGCCCAUCCUGCUCCUGCACAGCCCCCGGCUCCCUGCUGUCACCCACCUUGGCUGCCCUCCCUGAGGCCUCUGGAGGCUGACAAGUUUGCCUUGCAUUUGCAGUUCCUGCAGGAGGUGCCCUCUCAUGAUGUUUCCUCUUUUUCCCGAAGCAGGGGCCCAGGUGCCUUUUCCAGAGUGCCCCUGGAGUUGGGGUUGGGUUGAGCAGCUCAGGACAAAGGAGAGCAUGCAUUAUUAGGCUUUUUACCCCCACACUGUUCCCUGUCCCCAUACUGUGGUGGCAGCCAUGAAAAUGCAUGGCUCACCCUUCUGCUGUGAGAGUGUGGUUGACUGAUAGCCCCACAUGCUCUCUUUGGGGACCUACCACUGUGUUAGUGCCAGCGCCCAACUUCCUCCAGGCUGCUGCCAGUCAAUGUCUGAGCAUGAUGGGUGCUGAGACUGGUCCAUCUUUGUGAGAUGUGGGACCUUGGGUUACCUUGACUCAGGGAUUCCCCACUGGCCUGACUGACACUUUCUUGGAACUGUACUGCAGUUUGAGACUCUUCUUCCUUUCUCCUGGUGUCAGGCUGGCAAAGUCAUCUGAAGGGUCUCUCCAUCUUUUCUGACUACCUCUUCUUUAUCCUUCACUGAUGUCCCCAAGUCCAUCUGUCUUGGUGUCUGCUUCUAGGAAGACCUUGACUAAGACACAGACACCAGUGGGUACUUCUCCUAUCACUCAAGACUCCAAUCUCUAGGCAGCUUUUAAGUCUCUAGAUCCCCCACCUUUGUUCCUCCCCACUUUGCUUUCUGUUGCCCCAACCCUCACUGUCUCCUCUCCAGCUGAAGUGAUGGGAGAGCUUUCAUACGUCUUCUUUUCACAUCUUAGGG